rnacentral:rRNA from 1 species
UACGUAGGGGGCGAGCGUUAUCCGGAUUCACUGGGCGUAAAGGGAGCGUAGACGGCGGACUAAGUCCGGGGUGAAAACACGGGGCCCAACCCCGUGCCUGCCCCGGAUACUGGCCUGCUGGAGUGCGGGAGAGGUGUGCGGAAUUCCUGGUGUAGCGGUGAAAUGCGUAGAGAUCAGGAGGAACACCGGUGGCGAAGGCGGCACACUGGACCGCGACUGACGUUGAGGCUCGAAGGCGUGGGGAGCAAAC